CCUACGGGUGACAGCAGUGAGGAAUAUUGGUCAAUGGGCGCAAGCCUGAACCAGCCAAGUCGCGUGAGGGAUGACGGUCCUAUGGAUUGUAAACCUCUUUUGUCGGGGAGCAAGGCCCGCCACGUGUGGCGGGAAGGAGAGUACCCGAAGAAAAAGCAUCGGCUAACGCCGUGCCAGCAGCCGCGGUAAUACGGAGGAUGCGAGCGUUAUCCGGAUUUAUUGGGUUUAAGGGGUGCGUAGGCGGAAGGUUAAGUCAGCGGUCAAAUGUCGGUGCUCAACACCGGCCUGCCGUUGAAACUGGUCGUCUUGAGUGAGCGAGAAGUAUGCGGAAUGCGUGGUGUAGCGGUGAAAUGCAUAGAUAUCACGCAGAACUCCGAUUGCGAAGGCAGCAUACCGGCGCUCAACUGACGCUGAGGCACGAAAGCGUGGGGAUCGAACAGGAUUAGAUACCCCAGUAGUC
rnacentral:rRNA from 1 species